ensembl:lncRNA
UCUGUCUUUGCAGCAAGUGUUUGUAUGUAUAAACGUCGUCCAGAAAGGCCCAGAAAUAGAUGCUUCUCCACCUCCAUAGCAACAUUUCUGUGAAUGACCAUUUCAAGUGCUCCACACCGUUUCCAAAGCUUGUAGGAACUUCACGUAACCCACAGCACCCCACUGAUAAAAUGCAAGUGAAAAGCUUGUGGCAGGAUGGUUAAAGGAUGGCAGACUGAGUGGGGGUUUGAAUUAACUCCCAGUAGUUACUUCGAUAAGCUUCCAUUCAGAAAUUGUGGGUGGGAUUUAUCUCCAUUUACAAGUGGAAUCCAAUUAGCUCCCUCUGCAGACAGCGAAGACAGGUCUGGGAGCGACCUCCACCCUGUGGCCUGGCAGCUGCUUGGAGGGACUUCAGGAGGAGAUGAAGAAAGGCUCCGCGGCCUCAGAUGACCUCAUCCUGCAGAACAGUGUGCAAUGGAAGGAUGGGCAUAAUUUCACAAGAGCAAGAGGAGCAGAACACCCUCCAGCCGGAGGAGAGGAGCUCUGAUCUGCUCACACAGCACUACUGUGGGUGAAGUAUGAAGACCAAGAGAGAAGAGGAAAGAUAUUUCUUUAAGAAAUGUAGGAUGAAAAUACUCAGUGAAAAAUUACACAUCUCUGGUAAGCUCUUGUUGAAAUCUAGCUCUUUGUUCAACCAGCUCGAGGACAACUCAAAGAAUAGAACCUUACUGUGAGUUCGACAGAGCACUGCAACAAACUGCCCAGAGAGAUUGUGGAGUCUCCUUCUAUGAAGAUAUUCAAGACCCAUCUGGACGCCUACCUGUGUGACCUAUUGUAGGGUACCUGCUUUAGCAAGUGGUUGGACUUGAUGGUCUCCAAAAGUCCCAACCUCUACAAUUCUGAGAUGCUGUGAACUUGGGCCAACACCAGACUCAAGCUGCUUUUACCAAU